rnacentral:lncRNA from 1 species
AGCCUCAAAAAAAAAAAAAAAAACAACAGAGGAAAUUGGAGCAAGAACAUCAUUUGGUCUUUGUCACCCUCAUGCUGGUUCCCAGCGUUCAUUGCUUUCUUUUCUAAGUACUUAAAUAUUCUCUAACUCUAAGAUAACAUCGCUGGGCCUAUUUACUGAUCGGCUGUCGGCCUUGACUAAUUUUCAUUUACACUUUUUGACGUCAUUUGACUGCUCUUGGCAUUUAUCGCAAAAUGUUCUUUAUCAUCGAAUUGUU